rnacentral:rRNA from 1 species
AUGUCCCCUCUCCCCGACCUCUCAUCUCUCUCCCACGACGUGUGCACCGCCGCCAGGUCCGUUGCUCAUCUGGUUAAUCCCGACGGGCAUAUUUUCUUUCUGCUCUACCUCAGGAGACCUCCUCCCCUGAGCACUCCCCUCCCACAGGAGACCUCCUCCCCGACCUCUCAUUUUCUCUACCGACGGCCAAACUGGUGGUGUACCGCCGCCAUCCCGGCGCUGAAGCCGGCGAGAUCCUGCGUCCCCAUCAUGACCCGGAUUCCCUAUGCCACCAGUACGCCGGAUACCUCAAGGUACCCCUACCCCCCACCCCUGCCCGCGGCAUCCGCCUAUCUCCGCACCCUAGGAGCUCCCUCACGCUAUCAGCCUUCGGAGCCUUCAGAUCUGAUUUCACAUUAUGGCCGUCUCUAG